AAGACCCAGGGAUAGGUCAUCUUCAGGAAGAAGAUUCGAUGAUUCAGGAUGAAGAAUCGGCACGGAAAGCGAAGGACAUUAGCUGGACGCGAUUAACUAGGAUGGUUAACUACGGAAAAUUAAUGGACACCUUAAUGGAAUAAGGCACAUCUGUCAGGAAGACGGAAGUAGGGACACCGCUAGGAAGGCGAUGAAACGGAUUGUGCUAAAGGAUAUAGCAGACUAUCAAGGAAUAGAUGCAGGGAGCACCUAUUAGUAGCCGGAUUGCUGCGAGCAAGAACAGAACCCCACUAAGCGUAAGCUUGGUGGGGUUUUCUUUAUUU
rnacentral:misc_RNA from 1 species